GCACCCGGGAGGAAAGGCGAGGCUCUGCAUCUAGAUUUACCUCGUUCUCUUUUGUCUCCGCUUUUUUUUCACAUUUCCUUGCGACCCUGGCCCUUGAGCGACAAAAAGGGGAAGCCAAGGCUGGCCCGAGGAACGGAGAGGGCACAUGGCCUAGCCACAAGUGGAGCUUCUGCUCCGCCCGAAGGGAUGCGCUGGAGCGGCCUCUUCCUUCUGCCACGGUCUUUCUUUGCCAACUAGUAGUAGAGAUGGGGUUUCACCAGGUUAGCCAGGCUGGUCUUGAACUCCAGACCUCAAGGGAUCCGCCUGCCUCAGCUUUCCAAAGUGCUGGGAUUACAGGUGGAGACUGGACCUCAGAAGAGGGAGUGGGUGCCCCGAGAACUCACAGCUAGCGGACAGUGGAAAGGGCAGGAGCCGGACCAAGGUGAGGACAGUGGAACUGAAGGCCGCUGGUUACCUCUCCUGCCCUCCGCUGGCCACAGUGGAGAAGACAGCCCCUCCCUCCUGCUCUGACCUGACAGUGUUCAUCCAUCGCCCUGUAUUAGCGAAGAACAACAUCAAGCUGGCUAGCAAGGAACUGUAUACAGGGUCCAGCUGGGUAUCACACUGGAUCUCACCCAAAGCUUAGAUGUGAUCCAGCUCAGUAUCACAAAGCAGAACGAAAAGGAUGUGUUUGGGCUGAGAGGCCAUACAUUGGUAAGUGGCACAUGAACUGUAUUUUCUAUUGAGCAUUGCUGGUAUAUGGCAAAUUUGCAUAAAAUUAUAUUGAAAUUGA
rnacentral:lncRNA from 1 species